rnacentral:rRNA from 1 species
UGGAGCAAUCCAUGAGUACAGUGGCGUACGGGUGAGUAACACGUGGAUCAUCUACCUUCUAGUGGGGAAUACCUCCGGGAAACUGGAGACAAUACCGCAUAAGCUCGUAAGAGGAAAGCAGCAAUGCGCUGGAAGAGGAGUCCGCGGCUGAUUAGCUAGUUGGCGGGGUAAUGGCCCACCAAGGCGAAGAUCGGUAGCCGGCCUGAGAGGGCACACGGCCACACUGGCACUGAAACACGGGCCAGACUCCUACGGGAGGCAGCAGUGGGGAAUCUUGCACAAUGGAGGAAACUCUGAUGCAGCGACGCCGCGUGAGCGAUGAAGCCCUUCGGGGUGUAAAGCUCUUUCGACGGGAACGAUAAUGACGGUACCCGAAGAAGAAGCUGCGGCUAACUACGUGCCAGCAGCCGCGGUAAUACGUAGGCAGCAAGCGUUGUUCGGAAUUACUGGGCGUAAAGAGUGUGUAGGCGGUGUUCCAAGUCUGGUGUGAAAUCUCCCGGCUUAACUGGGAGGGUGCAUUAGAAACUGGAAUGCUAGAGGAUGGGAGAGGUAAGCGGAAUUCCUGGUGUAGCGGUGAAAUGCGUAGAUAUCAGGAGGAACACCUGUGGUGUAGACAGCUUACUGGACCAUUUCUGACGCUGAGACACGAAAGCGUGGGUAGCAAACAGGAUUAGAUACCCUGGUAGUCCACGCCCUAAACGAUGCAUACUUGGUGUGAGCGAUUCAUUUCGUUCGUGCCGGAGCUAACGCGUUAAGUAUGCCGCCUGGGGAGUACGGUCGCAAGGCUGAAACUC